GACGAACGCUGGCGGCGUGCCUAAUACAUGCAAGUCGAACGGAAAGGCCUCAGCUUGCUGUGGUACUCGAGUGGCGAACGGGUGAGUAACACGUGGGUGACCUGCCUUGCACCGUGGGAUAACUCUGGGAAACGGGGUCUAAUACCGGAUAUGAACUGCCGUUGGUGUGGUGGUUGGAAAAUUUUGCGGGUGCAAGAUGAUCGCUCGGCCUAUCAGUGUGUUGGUGGGGUGGUGGCCUACCAACGGGGCGACGGGUAGCCGGCCUGAGAGGUUGAACGGCGACAAUGGGCCUGAGAUACGGCGCAGUCUGCUACGGGAGGCAGUAGACGGGAGUAUUACACAAUAGCCGGACGCGAGAGGCGGAGGGGCCAGGUGGGGGAUGCCGGGCUUUGGGUUGUGAACGCGUUUCAACAGGGAUGAGGCUUUUUGUGACGGUACCUGUAUAAGAAGCAACGGCUAACUACGUG
rnacentral:rRNA from 1 species